rnacentral:SRP_RNA from 1 species
UGCCCGUUCCAAGCCGAGAGCGGGCCAUGUGAACCGAACGAAGGCCUGGGUGGUGCAGCCCCUAAAGAGGAGGGGACUGCGUGAGGUUGGCUUCACAGAGCUGCGAAAACCUCCUGCUCCCGAUAGUGGAAGGAUAACG